AUUGAACGCUGGCGGCAUGCCUUACACAUGCAAGUCGAACGGUAACAGGUUAAGCUGACGAGUGGCGAACGGGGGAGUAAUACAUCGGACGGUGACUAGACGUGGGGGAGAGCGCGGCGAAAGCCAGAAUAGUACCGCAUGUGAUCUGAGGAUGAUAGCGGGGGACCGUAGAGUCUCGCGCGUUAUGAGCGGCCGAUGGCAGAUUAGGGGGUUGGUGGGGUAAAGGCUUACCAAGCCUACGAUAUGUAGCUGGUCUGAGAGGACGACCAGCCACACUGGGACUGAGACACGGCCCAGACUCCUACGGGAGGCAGCAGUGGGGAAUUUUGGACAAUGGGCGAAAGCCUGAUCCAGCAAUGCCGCGUGCAGGAUGAAGGCCUUCGGGUUGUAAACUGAUUUUGUACGGAACGAAAAGGCGCCUACUAAUACUGGGUGUUGAUGACGGUACCGUAAGAAUAAGCACCGGCUAACUACGUGCCAGCCGCCGCAGUAACAC
rnacentral:rRNA from 1 species